AAAGUCGUAACAAGGUUUCCGUAGGUGAACCUGCGGAAGGAUCAUUAAAAAUAUAGCAAACCGAGCGGUUAGCGAGGUUUUGCGAUCAAAAUUGUAUUUAAAACCCAACACUUUGAAUCAAAAAUAUAUAAAUUAUGUAUCAUGAAUAAUUAAAAGAUCACUUUCAACAACGGAUCUCUUGGCUCUC
rnacentral:misc_RNA from 1 species